AUGAACUUUAAUCUUACGGCAAAGGCAGGAGGAAUGCUGGAGAAGAUCCAGACCAUGCUUGCUCAGCAGCAGUGUGAAGAGAGGAGAUUCCAGGGAAUAACACUGAAGGGGAAUCUGAAAGGCUUCAUGGACCUCACCAAUCCCCAGCUGUAGCAACACAUGGAGGCGGCCAUCAACAUUGGCGUGGAUGAUCUCAAAGCCAGGUUUGGUGGUUUGCUGAAGGAUGAGGGUGUCCAGACCACAGUGGAGUCUUUCGGAGUGACACAUGGCCAGAAGACCAGGCCAGCCUUUUCACCUUUGGCGAUGAUGGUGUGGCAUACCUGAUGAGGCAUUUCAAGGAGCCUCUAGAGAGAUCGGCAGGUGCAACAUGACAGCAAUCCAGGAUGAGUGGCAGGGGCUGAAAAUCCUGGUCAGCCACAAUUUCAAGGACAAGUCCUACAGUGGGCUGUGGGAGACCAUGUUGACAAAGGACACCUACUGGCACGAUUACAAGAACAUACUGAAGGUGGUGCAUUUUAUGCUGGUGCUGCCCAUUUCAGCUGCCCAGUGUGAGCAAGGCAUCUCUGCACAGAACCAGAUAAAAAAUUCGACAAGAAGCUGCCUUGGGUUCUCCACCACCG